rnacentral:lncRNA from 1 species
AUGGCUCACAAGUCUCUGUCUAGCCUGUUUGAGUCCAGGUAUCCUGAGAGGGACAACCAGGAGCAGAUUGCACAGUCAGAGAACGAGGAGGUAAAAACCAAGCAGUCCUGGAGGAAGUUGAAACGGUCUAAGGAAGCAGAACUUUGCAAAAGAACUCUAUCGGUUCCUGGGAUGGUCUGUGACAAGUCCAUACAUCAGAGCCAUAUCGAUUGUGCCUUCUGUGCUCCUCAGAACAGGUCCAGACUUAAUAGCUCACCAGCUUCCCAAAAGAGUUUGAGGAACACUUGCCAUUCUGAUUCACAGAGUUUGAAAUCUUGUCCUCAGGAACAGUCUGAAGACAGAAAAUAUCUGGAAGGAGGUGAGCUGCCUUGUGCUCCUUACUUAGAUUCUUACCAGAUCUCAGAAGAUGGCUUCGAGUCCAGUGUAGAGGAUAGGUCGCAAUCACCUGUACACCCAACUGUUUUUGCACUUGCAAACCAGAUGUCACCUACCUGGACCAGAUCUUUAAGCUGUUUUGAGACCACUGAUACGCCAACAAGGCCCAUGAGCCCUAAACCUCACAGUCCUGGUCUGGGCUGGACACACCGGAGGAGCUUCCGUUACCCCUCGAGAUCUGUUGCAUCUUCUCUCUGUUCGCUCGGUCAAGGAGUGAGCACUGACGGUAUCUCUGAUCCACCUCAGAGACCGACGUCUCUGAAACCAAGAACAGCACAACUCACAACAACCCACUCUUUUGAUUCUGAGUCCUUACUAGAGGACAGCAGUUCAGACAGCCAGUCUCAAAAUAGCCUGAAUUCAGCAUCCCUGAUCAACAAACCAGAGGUGCGUGCCAGACUUUCCCUCACUUCUCCAGAGCAGUUCCCCUCUGUUCCUCUCAAAGACCACUUCUUCUCCCAGAGCACACCUGUUGGGCUGGACUUUUUGGGCUGGCCUCACCGUGCAUCAUUUUCAGAAUCGAAUCUCAGCACACCAGCACAAGAGGCACAUGGACAGGUCCCCCCUCUGGGUGAGUUUGCUCCUUCUGAACCACAAUAUGAGCUGGACAAUGCUGUGAAAUAUUGAAGGGACAUUUAAAUCUGUUUGUUUGUUUAUCUGUGGCUGUUGAGUUGAACUAUUGUAUUUUCUCAGCUUGUGCAUUUUUAUGAAUUCUAAUAUGGUGAUUAUAUUAUGCUAUUUUAUUCUGCUGGCUAAUAGUCCAAUUGGCUUUUUAAAUGUGUGUGAUUUAAACUGGGGGUUUGAUGUCAUAUUUUUGAUGUCAUAUUGAUGUCUCCUUGCAAGAGUGCCUUUUUUCUAUAAAUACAGCUAUGUAUUUG